AGUGUUUCGAGAAUAGCGUCUGGG
rnacentral:siRNA from 1 species